rnacentral:rRNA from 1 species
UACGGGGGAUGCAAGCGUUAUCCGGAAUCAUUGGGCGUAAAGCGCCUGUAGGUUGUUUAAUAAGUCUGUUGUUAAAGACUAGGGCUUAACUCUAGAAAAGCAAUGGAAACUACUAGACUAGAGUAUGGAAGAGGUAGAGGGAAUUUCUAGUGUAGCGGUGAAAUGCGUAGAUAUUAGAAAGAACACCGGUGGCGAAGGCGCUCUACUGGACCAUUACUGACGCUCAGAGGCGAAAGCUAGGGUAGCAAAAGGGAUUAGAUACCCCUGUAGUCCUAGCUGUAAACGAUGGAUACUAGAUGUUGUGCGUAAAGUACAGUAUCCUAGCUAACGCGUUAAGUAUCCCGCCUGGGGAGUACGCUCGCAAGGGUG